GUGGGGAAUUUUGGACAAUGGGCGCAAGCCUGAUCCAGCAAUGCCGCGUGCAGGAAGAAGGCCUUCGGGUUGUAAACUGCUUUUGUACGGAACGAAACGGUCCGGGUUAAUACCCUGGGCUAAUGACGGUACCGUAAGAAUAAGCACCGGCUAACUACGUGCCAGCAGCCGCGGUAAUACGUAGGGUGCAAGCGUUAAUCGGAAUUACUGGGCGUAAAGCGUGCGCAGGCGGUUUUGUAAGACAGGCGUGAAAUCCCCGGGCUCAACCUGGGAAUUGCGCUUGUGACUGCAAGGCUGGAGUGCGGCAGAGGGGGAUGGAAUUCCGCGUGUAGCAGUGAAAUGCGUAGAUAUGCGGAGGAACACCGAUGGCGAAGGCAGCCUUCUGGCCAAAUACUGACGCUGAGGUGCGAAAGCAUGGGGAGCAAACAGGAUUAGAAACCCCUGUAGUCC
rnacentral:rRNA from 1 species